rnacentral:rRNA from 1 species
GAUGAACGCUGGCGGCGUGCCUAACACAUGCAAGUCGAGCGAACAGACGAUGAGCUUGCUCCUCUGACGUUAGCGGCGGACGGGUGAGUAACACGUGGAUAACCUACCUAUAAGACUGGGAUAACUUCGGGAAACCGGAGCUAAUACUGGAUAAUAUAUUGAACCUCAUGGUUCAAUAGUGAAAGACGGUUUUGCUGUCACUUAUAGCUGGAUCCGAGCCGACUUAGCUAGUUGGUAAGGUAACGGCUUACCAAGGCAACGAUGCGUAGCCGACCGGAGAGGGUGAUCGGCCACACUGGAGGUGAGACACGGUCAUGGCUCCUACGGGAGGCAGCAGUAGGGAAUGUGCCGCACUGGGCGAAAGCUUGACGGAGCAACGCCGCGUGGGUGAUGAAGGUCUUCGGAUCGUAAAACUCUGUUAGUAGGGAAGAACAAAUGUGUAAGUAACUAAGCACGUCUUGACGGUACCUAAUCAAAAAGCCACGGCUAGCUACGUG